GUAGCAACAUUUUUCGUAUAAAUAUUGCUGUUUUCUAUCGAUAUAGCAUCAGUUGCAAGCCGAUAAAAAUAUCCGAAACAAUAUCAAAUAAUUAGAGAUCCAAGAGUUAAACAAAACCGUUAAUUUCCCAAACAUGUUUCCGUAUACAGCCGUGUUAGGAGUUGCAGUUUUAAUUGUAGGAGGAGGUUCUUAUGUAGCCGGUGAUUGUCCAGGAAAUGGAAACACUUGGACCAACACCCAAUGUUCGAAUUCAUUUGUUUCCGCUUCCACAUUUACCGACAGCAACAUAGUCAGUUCUACAAUCAAGACAUCGACUCUAACUACAACAACAGUUAAAGAGGGUUCUACUGUUGAUACAUCAACUCUAACUUCGUCGACCAUAAGUGGUGGAUCAUCUGUUACAAGGUGUACACUUACCGGUAGUACUGUUGUCAACCGGAAGAUUUGUGGCUGUACCGUUACAGGAAAUGAUUUUUCUAAUUGCGCAUGUUAAAUGGAUUGACAGCAGAAAAUUAAUAAAUUUUUAAACUUCCAAGUUGGGAGUAUAA